CUCCUCUUUCUCUUCUUCUCAUUCCUUCUCACCUAUUUUUUCUCCUUCAUGGCAGCUCCCUCACCUCCAUCUAUUCCUCCACGUUCUUCCUUUUUUCUUUAUCCAUUUCUCCUCAUCCUCCUCAUUCAAGUCGCUCAUAAGCCAUCCUCCUCUACGACCGCCCCUACCAUCUCCAUCCCUUCUCGUCGGCAACUCAUCCUUCCCUUCUUCUUUCUUCCCAUCCUCUUUUCCUUCUUGUCCUCCUCUUCCUCCAAUCCAUUUCUUGUGAGUUGCCCUUCUUUCCUCCUCUCCUUCCUCCUUAUCCAUUUCUCAUUCUCAUUCUCUUCCUUCUCCAAACCCACCUAUGAGCGAGGAAUACUUCCAUUCAUUAAGAGAAAAAGCUAAGACCAUUUGUUGAUAAAAUGAACCAUUAUACUAUAUUGAAAUAUA
rnacentral:lncRNA from 1 species